AUUGAACGCUGGCGGCAGGCCUAACACAUGCAAGUCGAGCGAGCGGCGGACGGGUGAGUAAUGUCUGGGGAACUGCCUGAUGGAGGGGGAUAACUACUGGAAACGGUAGCUAAUACCGCAUACCCUCAGAUGUUCCCAGAUGGGAUUAGCUUGUAGGUGGGGUAAUGGCUCACCUAGGCGACGAUCCCUAGCUGGUCUGAGAGGAUGACCAGCCACACUGGAACUGAGACACGGUCCAGACUCCUACGGGAGGCAGCAGUGGGGAAUAUUGCACAAUGGGCGCAAGCCUGAUGCAGCCAUGCCGCGUGUGUGAAGAAGGCCUUCGGGUUGUAAAGCACUUUCAGCGAGGAGGCGUUACUCGCAGAAGAAGCACCGGCUAACUCCGUGCCAGCAGCCGCGGUAAUUC
rnacentral:rRNA from 1 species